GACGAACGCUGGCGGCGUGCUUAACACAUGCAAGUCGAACGGAAAGGCCCGGCUUUGGUGGGGUGCUCGAGUUGCGAACGGGUGAGUAACACGUGAGUAACCUGCCCCUGACUUUGGGAUAACCUCAGGCAACUGGGGCUCAUACCGGCUAGGAUCUCCUGCUGCAUGGUGGGGGUUGGAUAGUUUCGGCGGUUGGGGAUGGACUAGCCGCCUAUGAGCUUGUUGGUGGGGUAGUGGAUUAGCAAGGCUUUGACGGGUGGCCGGCCUGCGAGGGUGACCGGCCACAUUGGGCCUGGACUACGGCCCAGACUCCUCCGGUAGGCAGCGGUGGGGAAUAUUGCACAAUGGGCGGAAGCCUAAUGCAGCAACGCCGCGUGCGGGAUGACGGCCUUCGGGUUGUAAACCGCUUUCGCCUGUGACGAAGCGUGAGUGACGGUAAUGGGUAAAGAAGCACCGGCUAACUACGUG
rnacentral:rRNA from 1 species